rnacentral:rRNA from 1 species
ACUGGGGAUAAUUCCGGAUAGGCCACAGAUGCUGGAAUGCACUGUGGCUCAAAGCUCCGGCGCCGAAGGAUGGGUCUGCGGCCUAUCAGGGUUGUAGUGGGUGUAAUGUACCUACUAGCUUACGACGGGUACGGGUUGUGAGAGCAAGAGCCCGGAGAUGGAUUCUGAGACACGAAUCCAGGCCCUACGGGGUGCAGCAGGCGCGAAAACUUUACAAUGCGGGAAACCGUGAUAAGGGAAUCUCGAGUGCCAGCAUAUAAUGUUGGCUGUCCAGAUGCCUAAAAAGCAUCUGUUAGCAAGGGCCGGGCAAGACCGGUGCCAGCCGCCGCGGUAACACCGGCGGCCCGAGUGGUAACCGCUUUUAUUGGGUCUAAAGGGUCUGUAGCCGGCCAUGUAAGUCCCUUGGGAAAUCUGGCAGCUCAACUGUCAGGCUGCUAGGGGAUACUGCUUGGCUUGGGACCGGGAGAGGUGAGAGGUACCUUGAGGGUAGGGGUGAAAUCUUGUGAUCCUCGGGGGACCACCAGUGGCGAAGGCGUCUCACCAGAACGGGUCCGACGGUAAGGGACGAAAGCUAGGGGCACGAACCGGAUUAGAUACCCGGGUAGUCCUAGCCGUAAACGAUGCUCGCUAGGUGUCAGUCACGGUGCGACCGUGAUUGGUGCCGUAGGGAAGCCGUGAAGCGAGCCACCUGGGAAGUACGGCCGCAAGGCUGAAACUUAAAGGAAUUGGCGGGGGAGUACUACAACGGGUGGAGUCUGCGGU